rnacentral:rRNA from 1 species
AACGAACGCUGGCGGCAUGCCUAACACAUGCAAGUCGAACGAGACCUUCGGGCCUAGUGGCGCACGGGUGCGUAACGCGUGGGAACCUGCCCUUAGGUUCGGAAUAACUCCCCGAAAGGGGUGCUAAUACCGGAGAAUGUCUUCGGACCAAAGAUUGUUGGCCUUUGGCUGGGCCUGUGUUAGAUUAGUCGGUUGGUAAGGUAAAAGCAUAUCAAGGCGAGGAUCCAUGGCUGGUCGGAGAGGCUGACCAUGCAGGCUGGCGAUGAGACACGGCCUAGACUCCGACGGAAGGCAGGAGUGGGGAAUAUUAGAGGAUGGGCGAAAGCGUGAUCCAGCAAUGCCGCGUGAGUGAUGAAGGCCUUAGGGUUGUAAAGCUCUUUUACCCGGGAUGAUAAUGACAGUACCGGGAGAAUAAGCACCGGCUAACUACGUG